rnacentral:lncRNA from 11 species
CCCAAGUUAUGAACAUGAUAGGUUUUGUACGUUUGUUCUUAAGUUCAAUUUGUUUGUAAGUCAGAACAGGUACAUUUUUAAAGUGUAACUCCAGUCAAAAAUGUAUAUUUUUAGCUUUGAAUAGCAUAGAUGAGGGUUAACACGUGUUUGUUUUGCUGUCUGUUCAGAAGAUUUCACCUGACUUUCUGUCCCUGUGCUCAUUGGAUUUUGAAAAAAAAAAAUGGCUUGUUGUGGAUUGGUGAUAAAUCUGCAGUGGGCCUUUCUACACAUGCAGUAAAAUCCGUGACGUUCAGAGGGCGACCAUCAUCCAGAGGGCUUUUUCGUCAGUUGCCCCAAGACUGUGGAACUACCUGCCGGAAGACGUCCAACAAAUAAAUGAGCUGUAGGAAAUCAAAACACACCUGAAAACCUAGCUCUUCUGGCAGGCCUAUGUACCUGGUAUUUCAUGAAUUUUAAACUUGCAUCUUAU